rnacentral:rRNA from 1 species
GCUUGCACUGAAUGAGAUUUUAACACGAAGUGAGUGGCGGACGGGUGAGUAACACGUGGGUAACCUGCCCAGAAGCAGGGGAUAACACCUGGAAACAGAUGCUAAUACCGUAUAACAGAGAAAACCGCCUGGUUUUCUUUUAAAAGAUGGCUCUGCUAUCACUUCUGGAUGGACCCGCGGCGCAUUAGCUAGUUGGUGAGGUAACGGCUCACCAAGGCGAUGAUGCGUAGCCGACCUGAGAGGGUAAUCGGCCACAUUGGGACUGAGACACGGCCCAGACUCCUACGGGAGGCAGCAGUAGGGAAUCUUCCACAAUGGACGCAAGUCUGAUGGAGCAACGCCGCGUGAGUGAAGAAGGGUUUCGGCUCGUAAAGCUCUGUUGUUAAAGAAGAACGUGGGUGAGAGUAACUGUUCACCCAGUGACGGUAUUUAACCAGAAAGCCACGGCUAACUACGUGCCAGCAGCCGCGGUAAUACGUAGGUGGCAAGCGUUAUCCGGAUUUAUUGGGCGUAAAGCGAGCGCAGGCGGUCUUUUAAGUCUAAUGUGAAAGCCUUCGGCUCAACCGAAGAAGUGCAUUGGAAACUGGGAGACUUGAGUGCAGAAGAGGACAGUGGAACUCCAUGUGUAGCGGUGAAAUGCGUAGAUAUAUGGAAGAACACCAGUGGCGAAGGCGGCUGUCUGGUCUGUAACUGACGCUGAGGCUCGAAAGCAUGGGUAGCGAACAGGAUUAGAUACCCUGGUAGUCCAUGCCGUAAACGAUGAUUACUAAGUGUUGGAGGGUUUCCGCCCUUCAGUGCUGCAGCUAACGCAUUAAGUAAUCCGCCUGGGGAGUACGACCGCAAGGUUGAAACUCAAAAGAAUUGACGGGGGCCCGCACAAGCGGUGGAGCAUGUGGUUUAAUUCGAAGCUACGCGAAGAACCUUACCAGGUCUUGACAUCUUCUGCCAACCUAAGAGAUUAGGCGUUCCCUUCGGGGACAGAAUGACAGGUGGUGCAUGGUUGUCCUCAGC